AACGCGAAGAACCUUACCUGGGCUUGAACUACUGGUAGUAAGUCUUUGGAAACAUGGACUGAUCCGCAAGGAAGCCAGCAGAGGUGCUGCAUGGUUGUCGUCAGCUCGUGUCGUGAGAUGUUGGGUUAAGUCCCGCAACGAGCGCAACCCCUAUCUCAUGUUGCUAAUCCCGCAAGGGAUGCACUUUUGAGAAACUGCCUUCGAUAAGAAGGAGGAAGGUGGGGAUGACGUCAAAUCCUCAUGGCCCUUAUGUCCAGGGCUACACACGUGCUACAAUGGCCGGUACAACGGGAAGCAAUACCGCAAGGUGGAGCCAAACCCUGAAAGCCGGCCCCAGUUCAGAUCGUGGGCUGCAACUCGCCCACGUGAAGGCGGAAUCGCUAGUAAUCGCGAAUCAGCAGGUCGCGGUGAAUACGUUCCCGGGCCUUGUA
rnacentral:rRNA from 1 species